rnacentral:rRNA from 1 species
GUGCCAGCAGCCGCGGUAAUACGUAGGUGGCAAGCGUUGUCCGGAUUUACUGGGCGUAAAGGAUGCGUAGGCGGAUACUUAAGUCAGAUGUGAAAAUCCCGGGCUUAACUUGGGAACUGCAUUUGAAACUGGGUAUCUAGAGUGCGGGAGAGGAAAGUGGAAUUCCUAGUGUAGCGGUGAAAUGCGUAGAGAUUAGGAAGAACACCAGUGGCGAAGGCGACUUUCUGGACCGUAACUGACGCUGAGGCAUGAAAGCGUGGGGAGCAAACAGGAUUAGAUACCCCAGUAGUCCA